AUAGGGGAGCCGGAGGGAAACCGAGUCUUAAYUGGGCGUUAAGUUGCAGGGUAUAGACCCGAAACCCGGUGAUCUAGCCAUGGGCAGGUUGAAGGUUGGGUAACACUAACUGGAGGACCGAACCGACUAAUGUUGAAAAAUUAGCGGAUGACCUGUGGCUGGGGGUGAAAGGCCAAUCAAACCGGGAGAUAGCUGGUUCUCCCCGAAAGCUAUUUAGGUAGCGCCUCGUGAAUUCAUCUCCGGGGGUAGAGCACUGUUUCGGCUAGGGGGCCAUCCCGGCUUACCAACCCGAUGCAAACUGCGAAUACCGGAGAAUGUUAUCACGGGAGACACACGGCGGGUGCUAACGUCCGUCGUGAAGAGGGAAACAACCCAGACCGCCAGCUAAGGUCCCAAAGUCAUGGUUAAGUGGGAAACGAUGUGGGAAGGCCCAGACAGCCAGGAUGUUGGCUUAGAAGCAGCCAUCAUUUAAAGAAAGCGUAAUAGCUCACUGGUCGAGUCGGCCUGCGCGGAAGAUGUAACGGGGCUAAACCAUGCACCGAAGCUGCGGCAGCGACGCUGAUGCGUUGUUGGGUAGGGGAGCGUUCUGUAAGCCUGCGAAGGUG
rnacentral:rRNA from 1 species